GGGCCCGCACAAGCGGUGGAGUAUGUGGUUUAAUUCGAUGCAACGCGAAGAACCUUACCAGGGUUUGACAUCCUGCGAAUCUCUUGGAAACGAGAGAGUGCCUUCGGGAACGCAGUGACAGGUGGUGCAUGGCUGUCGUCAGCUCGUGUCGUGAGAUGUUGGGUUAAGUCCCGCAACGAGCGCAACCCACGUCUUUAGUUGCUACCAUUUAGUUGAGCACUCUAGCAAGACUGCCGUGGUUAACGCGGAGGAAGGUGGGGAUGACGUCAAAUCAUCAUGCCCCUUAUGUCUAGGGCUACACACGUGCUACAAUGGCGAGUACAAAGAGACGCAAAGCCGCGAGGUGGAGCAAAACUUAUAAAACUCGUCUCAGUUCGGAUUGCAGGCUGAAACUCGCCUGCAUGAAGCUGGAGUUGCUAGUAAUCG
rnacentral:rRNA from 1 species